UUCCGGUUGAUCCUGCCGGAGGCCACUGCUAUCGGGGUUCGACUAAGCCAUGCGAGUCGUAUGUUCCCCUUCGGGGGAGCAUGGCGCACUGCUCAGUAACACGUGGAUAACCUACCCUUGGGACAGGGAUAACCCCGGGAAACUGGGGAUAAUACCUGAUAGACCAUGGAGGCUGGAAGGCGCCAUGGUUCAAAGGGGCAACCGCCCGCCCAAGGAUGGGUCUGCGGCCUAUCAGGUUGUAGUGGGUGUAACGCACCUACUAGCCUACGACGGGUACGGGCUGUGGGAGCAGGAGCCCGGAGAUGGAUUCUGAGACAUGAAUCCAGGCCCUACGGGGUGCAGCAGGCGCGAAAACUUUACAAUGCGGGAAACCGUGAUAAGGGAACCUCGAGUGCCGAUGCAUAGCAUCGGCUGUCCAGAUGCCUAAAAAGCAUCUGAUAGCAAGGGCCGGGCAAGACCGGUGCCAGCCGCCGCGGUAACACCGGCGGCUCGAGUGGUGGCCACUUUUAUUGGGUCUAAAGCGUCCGUAGCCGGCUUGGCAAGUCCCCUGGGAAAUCUGGCGGCUUAACCGUCAGGCGUCCAGAGGAUACUGCCAGGCUUGGGACCGGGAGAGGUGAGAGGUACCUCAGGGGUAGGGGUGAAAUCUUGUGAUCCCUGAGGGACCACCAGUGGCGAAGGCGUCUCACUAGAACGGGUCCGACGGUCAGGGACGAAAGCUGGGGGCACGAACCGGAUUAGAUACCCGGGUAGUCCCA
rnacentral:rRNA from 1 species